rnacentral:rRNA from 1 species
AGCGAACGUUAGCGGCGGGCCUAACACAUGCAAGUCGAACGCGAAAGGUCUUCGGACUGAGUAGAGUGGCGCACGGGUGAGUAACACGUAGGUAAUCUACCCUUUGGCGGGGGAUAACGUUCUGAAAGGAGCGCUAAUACCGCAUAAGACCACGUGGUCUCCGGACCGAGUGGGAAAAGGUGGCCUCUUCUUGAAAGCUACCACCGAAGGAUGAGCCUGCGUCCCAUCAGCUAGUUGGUAAGGUAAUGGCUUACCAAGGCAAAGACGGGUAGCUGGUUUGAGAGAAUGAUCAGCCACACUGGCACUGGAACACGGGCCAGACUCCUACGGGAGGCAGCAGUGAGGAAUAUUGGGCAAUGGGCGAAAGCCUGACCCAGCCACGCCGCGUGAGUGAUGAAGGCCCUCGGGUCGUAAAGCUCUGUGGAGAGGGACGAAAACCCUGGUUUCAAAUAGGCUCCAGGCUUGACGGUACCUCUUUAGCAAGCACCGGCUAACUCUGUGCCAGCA